GCUUUCCGCCUCUCCUCAUUAAACCGUCGAAGGAACUGUCUGACUGGCUUAAAUUUCGGAUCAACAUUGAGAGUAUGCUCAGCGAGUUCUCUAGGUACACCUGGCAUGUCAGAAGGCUUCCACGCAAAGAUGUCCCUAUUCUCACGGAUGAACUCGAUGAGCGCGCUUUCCUAUUUUGGAUCCAGAUUGGCACUGAUGCUAAACUGCUGAGAUGAAUCUCCUGGAACAAAAUCAACAAGCUUAGUUUCAUCAGCCGACUUAAAUUUCAUCGCCGGCUCAGCCUCCGUAGUCGGCUUCUUUACAGAAGUCAUGUCUCUUGGGUCAACAUUGUCUUUGUAAAACUUCAACUCCUCUGUUGCACAAACAGACUCUGCAUAAGCUGCAUCACCUUCCUCACACUCGAGAGCCACUUUCCGGCUACCGUGAACCGUGAUGUUCCCAUUGUGACCCGGCAUCUUGAGCUGUAAGUACACAUAACACGGCCGUGCCAUGAACUUGGCGUAAGCCGGCCGUCCAAAUAUAGCAUGGUAUGGACUUCUUAUCUUGACCACCUCAAAGGUCAACUUCUCCACCCUGUAGUUGUUCUCAUCACCAAAAGCCACUUCUAGCUCGAUCUUGCCGACUGGAUAAGCCGACUUACCAGGUACCACACCAUGGAAGAUAGUGUUUGACAGGCUGAGGUUCUUAUCAACCAACCCCAUACGGCGAAAAGUCUCAUAAUAUAGGAUGUUGAUGCUGCUGCCUCCAUCCAUGAGUACCUUUGUGAACUUAUAACCUCCCACCUGAGGAGCCACCACUAAGGCCAAGUGGCCCGGGUUAUCCACCCGGGGAGGGUGAUCCUCCCUACUCCACACUAUAGGCUGCUCAGACCACCGCAAGUAGCGUGGAACCGCCGGCUCAACAGCGUUCACAGCCCUCUUGUGAAGCUUUUGAUCUCAUUUGCACAAACUAGUGGUGAACACAUGAUACUGUCCACCGCUAAGCUGCUUUGGGUUGGUCUGAUAACCCCCCUGUUGCUGUUGAUGACCCUGACCCGCCUGUUGAUUAAAGCCCCCUUGACCGUUCUGAGGACCGGAAUUUGAGCCGCCGCCCGGGCCAUGAAAACCGCCGGCGCCUGAGCCGCCGCCCGGGCCAUUGUAGCUCUUAAAGGCCUUCAUGAUCGCGCAAUCCUUCCACAGAUGAGUUGCUGGCUUCUCCCUAGAGCCAUGCCUUGGACAAGGCUCAUUCAACAGCUGCUCCAGCGUUGGACCUGACCCGCCGCCUCGGGGAGGGGGCCUCCCUUUGCGUCGCGGGUUACUACCUUGGGAGUUGGCGUUGGCUACAAACUCUAGGCUGCCAUCGGCCUUACGCUUGCCUCCUCCUUGGUUCCCCGGGUUAAACUGAGGACCCUUGCCAUUGCCGUUCUUCUUUCCCUUCCCUAUCCUUUCAUCGUCUGAAGGGGGAUCCUUGGUACCAUCAGAAUCGGCGUACUUGACCAGAGCCGCCAUUAGGGUACCCAUAUCGGUGCAGUCGCGUUUAAGCCGCCCGAGUUUCAUCUUAAGGGGCACAAAGCGACAGUUCUGUUCCAACAUUAAGACCGCAGAGCCGGCAUCCAUCUUCUCUAAUAAAUGUAUGAUCUCCUUGACCCGGCGAACCCAAUGGGUCGUGGAUUCACCCUCCUGCUGCUUACAGUUAGUCAGAUCCACAAUUGACAUAGACUGCCUGCAGGUAUCUUUGAAGUUUUGAAUGAACCGGGCUUUCAGCUCAGCCCAAGACCCAAUGGAGUUCGGCGGUACCCCUUUCAACCACAUGCGGGCAGUUCCAUCUAACAUCAUGGUGAAAUAUUUGGCCAUGGCCGCCUCACUGACCUCCAGCAAUUCCAUAGCCAUCUCAUAACUCUCAAUCCAGGCUGCAGGCUGUAAGUCCGCUGUAUAGUUAGGCACCUUCCUAGGGCCCUUGAAGUCCUUAGGUAGACGUUUAUUACGGAUGGCUGGUACCAAACAAGGGACACCCCCAGUCCUGGUAGAAAUACCCACAUCAACGGACGUCGUCGGAUAAGCCGGGGGGGUCUGGUAAGCCAUCAAUUGAGGCACCUGCUCCGCCUCUUGCCGCGCUUGGUCUGCUGCGUAGAAGGCUCCAUUAUGAGCCGGGCCAUGGCCAGGGGGCGGGUCAUGGCGUCGGACAUUACUUGAGCCGGUUGCUGAGACCAUGUGCCGGCUGUAACUCGGGCUCUGGCCUGGACGAGGGGUCGAGUGGAUCCUGUCGCGGCUGUAGGAGUACGCCUCUUGCUGCGCUAGUGCCGUCUGCAGGAGUUCCCUGACCCGGCGGGUUUCGAUGGCCGCCGGAGAGUCGCUGUCAACGGGGAGAGCCGCCAGUCGUGCUGCCGCAGCCACCAUGUUCUCCAGCGGGUUAUCAUAAUGACCCGGCGGUAUUGGCACAUACUGAGGCGGGGCAGACAGCACCUGGGGAGGCCCCAUCACUCGUGGCUGAAUAAGGGGUCCAGACCCGGGCGCAAUGACCCCUGGCGGGUUACUAGACCCUGCACCCGGCGUGUUGAAGAGAUUGCGCGGGUCGUAAACCGGUGGGAGUCGAGACUGGGUCUUUUGGUGCCUCCUUCUCAUGACCUCGUUGGCCGCGUUCUGAUCCAUCGUGAGCUGGAAGGACUGUGCCUGAAUCAGCUGAGUCCGGGCGUCGAGGGCCGCCCGCUCCGCAGCCAGCCUGAUCCCUUCCGCUGCAAGAUCCUCUUUAGCUUUUAUCAAAUCCAAUUUUAACUGUGCCACCUCCGCAUCAUGCUGAGCUUGGUUCGCUGGGUCAACCGUGGCGGUUAACAGGGCCGUCAUCUUGUCCGUGAGAUCCAUCAGCACCUGAGCCGGAGAAGGCACCGGGUUUCCCGAUCCAGCAGCGGGGUUCUGAACAGGCUGCGCACCAGCCAUAAAAACUCCAACCUGACUUGGCGGCUCAAAAAGGUCCGGAAUACUGUCGCCAUCGGAACAACCCAUGAGCCUGCCAUCUUGAAGUUGGUACAAUGAGUUUGAUUCAUCGGUGGCUGACUCGCCGUCAGAGCUGGCGGCCGCCUCAUUACCAGACCCAGAUGGAUCAGAGGGCCCUCCAUGGAUGCAUCCAACAAAAGCGCGCCUUAAGGCAGGCCGGGCUCGGGCGGGUUGCGCGCGCUGAGCCGUUUCGAUGAGAUUGGCGCAGAGAUCCGGCUCGGGGCCCGGCUCACCAAUCUUGCCAAUGAAGACAUGAAUUCCGCCAAAGGGGACCCGGUAUCCGUACUCAACUGAGCCGGCGUCUGGGCCCCAGCCCGCAUCGUCGAUGUAGAGCUUGCCGCGACGGCUCUUGGUCAUCCGGCACAGCGUAUCCCUUGAUCCCUUCGAAGCUUCCCUUCAAGAACUCAAAUCCACCGUGCGCAGGCCCCACGGUGGGCGCCAACUGUCGUGGAAUUGUCACGGCAGAUGUCCUUGAGCUAGGACUUAGUCGUGGAGCCAUCGCAACUAGGAAGCUUGAAGGGGUUAUGCGGGACAAGGAACACGAGGGUUUAUACUGGUUCGGCCCCUUACGGUGAAGGUAAAAGCCUACGUCCAGUCUGGGGUGAUAUUGAUUAGGGUUAUGAUCACCGGGAGUUAAACAACUAUCCCCGGCUCUCGAUGAGAUUGUUCUCGCCCUCAAUCCGCUGCCGGGUCGUCCCUUUAUAUAAGGAGGCUGACGCCCAGCAGCCCUAGAUUCCCGGCUGGCUUAUAAGAGUAUCCGGCUCGGACUCUAAACUAUACUUGCCUUACGCUACAAGUUCCACGAUAAUAAUAAUUACAACUACGGGCCUUAAGCCAUAUCCGGGUCUCAGCCCAUCUCUGGCCCAUCACCUUGAAACUUGGCUCCGGGCUUCUCGCAACUGUCGUACGAGUAACCCGGCCCCUCCUGGCGGGUGACUCUAAGGUCCAUAUCCUCAAAAUCCAUGUUCCGACAUGGAACAAACUUCAACUUCACCUGCAACUAGCAACGCUAUAAGAGGGGCUGAGCAAAAGCGGUAUCAUAGCCAAACAACGGUUUGCUAGGAAAGGAUGGUUAGAGGCUGACAUGGAAAAAUGGGAGACAUGAUCUAGCAAGUGAUAGGUAGCGUAGCAUGGCAAUAGAGCGAACAACUAGCAAAGCAAAGAUAGAAGUGAUAUCGAGGGGUGGUCAUCUUGCCUGCAAGGUUCUCAGAGUUGUCGAAAGCUUGAUCCUCGUAAGCGUACUCAACAGGUUCCUCGUUCACGAACUCGUCUCCCGGCUCUACCCAAGACAAGAACACAAGCAAACCGAACCACAAUCAAUCACGAGAAAUGCACAAGCAACAUGAUGCAAAACAUGUAUGAUAUGCAAGAUAUGAUAUGCGAUGCAUAUGCGUGCUCCGGAAGGAAAAUGAUGAACAUGGCAGUAACUUGGCAAACCAAGCAUGCCACUGGAAAGAUGAGGUGAUUUCGGUCGAAAUCGAUAUAAAGAUCACCGGAAUCGGAUGCACGGUUUGCAAAUGGCAAGCAAAACAAGAAUGACACAAAUCUGCGAUCAACAGCAUGAUAGCACUUAAAAUGCAACAAGUAACAAAGCUACAGCACUCCAACAUAGCAACAAAGCACAUGGCAGUAAUCUAAAGGAGAUGCUUGACAAAAGAUGAACAAUGAGCUAUGGCUAGUUCACAACAUAUCAAGCUCAAACAAGCAUGGCAAAAGUGCAAAAGAUAACAGGUUCACAGACUUGGUGAAAAACUGGACAUGGCAGAAAACAGCAUCAGGUAGCAAUGUUCAGAGCAUGAAAUAAACAUGCUACAGGAACUUAACAUAGCAAACCAAGGCAUGGAAGUGUUCUAAUAAAUGCAUAUGACAAAAGUCCCUUACUGACCAUAAGCCAAAAAGGACUAGAAGAUAUGAUGGCAAGCAUGUAAACAUAACAAGUUCGUUAUCAGGUUUCAGACUUAGCAGAAAACAGAGCAUGGCAGAAAUAAUAAUAUGUAGGCCACUUUGUGAGCUUGAUUCACACACUACAGAGCAAUUCAUGACAAACCAAGCACACCUACAGCAAGAUGGCAUGUUUAUUAAGCUAACCAUGGCAAGAACAAUUGCAUAGCAUGUGUGGAUCAACUACAAUAAGCUUGGCAAAAUUGCAUAUCAUGUUAAGAAUCUGCCAGAAAUAUUUUAUAGCAAAAGUAGAGCAAGAUUGAGUCAUGCUAUGGCACUCCAUAAUUACAAAAAAUUGCAGGAAUGGAUCAACUACAACUAUAGCUACAAAACAUCCUUACAGAACAUCUCCAAAAUAUGCAUGGAUCUCUCUGUAGCAUCAAGUUUACAUGGCAACCAAAUAACAGCAGACAAAGACUUAGAGAAAUCACCAAGUCCCUGAAAUCAGAAACAUUACAGAGCCUACUUUGCAUGCUUGUGCUAGUCACCACAGAGAUCACAAAAAUACAUGGACUACACCACUGGAAAGAUGGAAUGGCAUACUUCAAAACACAUGUAGAGCUCAUGCUCAUAAGAUGCACGGAUUAAGUGAUACAAAAAUGACAAAUCUCCAAGUUCUGCUAAGAACCAGAGAAUAACAGCAACUAGCCCUCUUCCAACAGAGAUUUGGGCAUCAAGAUGACCUCUAAUGAAUAUGGUGCAAUUGAACAAAAUGUAGAGCAUCACGAGGCGAACAAUUUUACGUAUUAUACGUGUAAAUCGGAGCUACAAGCAAGGAGUUAUGGCAUCACGAACAGAGGCACAUACUGAGAAAAAUCCAACACUUAGAAAUAUUUCGGGGGGGUACGGGUCAACGCUCACAGAGAUCCAGAUCAGGGCCGAGCGGCGCUCGUCGCCGGCGGGAGAGAAGAGGAGGCGGGCAGCCGGAGAGGAGAGGAUGGCCGACGGGGCUCGGGCGGCGGCCUCGGGANNNNNNNNNNNNNNNNNNNNNNNNNNNNNNNNNNNNNNNNNNNNNNNNNNNNNNNNNNNNNNNNNNNNNNNNNNNNNNNNNNNNNNNNNNNNNNNNNNNNNNNNNNNNNNNNNNNNNNNNNNNNNNNNNNNNNNNNNNNNNNNNNNNNNNNNNNNNNNNNNNNNNNNNNNNNNNNNNNNNNNNNGGCGGCGAAGUGGGGCGCCCGGGGGUGACAUGGCGCGCCCCUAUUGGAUGCGUGCGGCGGCGGGUUUUCGUCCGGCGGCGCUGGACGCGUCCGGCGCGGCGCGAGGGAAUUUUCUAGGGUUGGAUUGAGUUCGUUUUUCGGGGAAGAUGCAAAUAUAUAGCUAGAGGGAGCUAGGAGAGUCCAAAUGAGGUGCGGUUUUCGCCCAGACGAUCGUGAUCGAACGACCUAGAGCAUGGAAGAGAGUUUGGUGGGUUUUGGGCUGGUUUUAGAGGGUGUUUUUGCUGGACACUCAAAUGGACUUUGCGGAUGCCCGGUUAACCGUUGGAGUACCAAACGGCCUACAAAUGGAACGAAACUUGACCGGUGGUCUCCGGGUGGUAUAAAAAGGCCACUUGACAAGCCUCGGUCCAUUCCGAGAAAGUUUGACACCCGCACACGAAAGAAAACAAGAGGGGUGCACCAGAGGAGAUAGGAGCGCCGGAUUGCAAAACGGACAACGGGGAAAAUGCUCGGAUGCAUGAGACGAACACGUAUGCGAAUGCAAUGGACAUGAUGACAUGAUAUGAAAAUGCAUGACAUGACAAAAUGCAAAACGAAAGACAAAACCCGACCACGGAGGAAAUAUCAUAACACAUAGCCGAAAAUGGCAAGAGUCGGAGUUACAAAUAUGACAAGUUACAUCCGGGGUGUUACAACACUCCACCACUACGAGAGGAUCUCGUCCCGAGAUCUAGGACUGAAAGAACUCCGGAUAUUCGGAACGGAGGUGGUCCUCGCGUUCCCAGGUGGCUUCCCGGUCGGAAUGGUGCGACCACUUCACUUUCAGGAAUUUGAUUGACUUGUUGCGAGUCUUGCGCUCAGUUUCUUCAAGAAUAGCAACGGGGUGCUCAUGAUAAGACAAAUCUUCUUGGAGGUCAAUCUCUUCGAAGUUGAUAGUGCGCUCAGGCGCCUUGAAGCACUUGCGGAGCUGUGACACGUGGAACACAUCGUGCACGUUUGCGAAGUUGGAAGGAAGCUCAAGUUGAUAGGCGAGGUCGCCUCUUUUGCCAACGAUCUUGAAAGGACCCACGUAUCUAGGGGCAAGCUUCCCUUUGAUACCGCAGCGACGAGUGCCUUUCAUUGGAGAGACGCGGAGGUAGACAUGGUCUCCGAUCUCGAAAGCCACAUCACGAUGCUUACUAUCAUAGUAACUCUUCUGUCGCGAUUGCGCGGCUUUGAGAUUAUCAUGGAUGACUUUACACAUUUCUUCAGCUUCAGUGAUUAAGUCAUUGCCAAGAAGUUGGCGUUCACCAGUCUCUGACCAAUUGAGAGGAGUACGGCACUUUCUGCCAUAGAGAAUCUCGAAUGGGGCCUUGCCCGAACUCGCUUGGAAGCUGUUGUUGUAGGAGAAUUCAGCAUACGGAAGACAAUCUUCCCAUUUCAUACCAAAGGAAAUGACACAAGCCCUGAGCAUAUCUUCAAGAAUUUGAUUGACUCGCUCGACUUGGCCACUAGUUUGAGGAUGGAAAGUUGUGCUGAAGCAAAUGUUUGUGCCCAUGGUCUUCUGGAAGGAGUCCCAGAACUUGGAGGUGAAGAUGCUUCCACGAUCAGAAGAAAUCAAUUGUGGAAUGCCGUGCAAGGAGACAAUUCUGGAGGUGUAAAGCUCUGCCAGCUGAGCUGCUGUGAUGGAUUGUUUGAUUGGAAGGAAAUGAGCCACUUUAGAGAGCUUGUCAAUGACAACGAAGAUAGCAUCAUUUCCGCGCUUGGACUUUGGAAAACCAGUCACGAAGUCCAUUUCGAUAUGAUCAAACUUCCAUUCUGGGAUAGCAAGAGGUUGGAGGAUACCAGCUGGUCGUUGGUGUUCUGCUUUCACUCUUCGGUAGACAUCACAUUCAUUCACGAAUUGAGCAAUUUCUCACUUCAUUCGAGUCCACCAAUACGACUGCUUGAGGUCGUGAUACAUCUUCGUACUUCCAGAAUGAAUGGACAGAAGAGAAUUGUGCGCUUCGUUCAUUAUGACUUUCCUUAGAUCACCUUUAGGAACCACAAUCCGGUCCUCGAAGAACAAAGUGUCUCUGUCAUCAAUGCGAUAGCACUUGUAUUUGGAAAGACCCUUGUCGAUACCACGUUUCACCUUCUUCACCAUGGCAUCAAGGAGUUGUGCCUCACGAAUUUGAUCUUCCAAAGUGGGAGAUACUAUGAGGUUGGCAAGAAAGCCUUGAGGAACAACUUGGAGAUUCAGCUUGCGGAAAGCUUCACAAAGAUCCGGUUGGAAAGGCUUGAGAAUUAAGCUGUUGCAAUAAGCCUUCCUGCUUAAAGCAUCUGCAAUGACAUUAGCCUUGCCUGGAGUAUAUUCAAUACUCGGAUUGUACUCUUGAAUCAUUUCGACCCAUCGAGUCUGCCUGAGGUUGAGGUUGGGUUGAGUGAAGAUAUACUUGAGGCUCUUGUGAUCGGUGAAAAUGUCCACUUGUCUUCCCAACAAGAGAUGUCUCCACGUUAUCAAUGCAUGGACAACUGCCGCCAACUCAAGAUCGUAAGUGGGGUAGUUCUUCUCGUUGGGCUUCAACUGAUGAGAGGUAUAGGCCACAACUUUCUUCUCUUGCAUUAACAUAGCACCGAGACCUUGGAGAGAAGCAUCACAGAAAACUUCAAACGCUUGGAUUCAUCAGGAGGAGUCAAGACAGGAGCUGUGACUAGUUUCUCUUUGAGAGUGUUGAAAGCAACGUCACACUCAGGAGACCAGACAUAUUUCACAUGCUUCUGAAGGAGGUUGGAAAGAGGCUUUGCAAUCUUGGAGAAAUUCUCAACGAAUAUUCGGCAAUAGCUUGCAAGACCAAGAAAACUGCGAAGCUGCUUGACAUUUUGAGGAGGUUCCCAAUUCACAACUGCGGACACCUUCUCGGGGUUAACAGCGAUGCCCUUGGCAGAGAUGAUGUGACCAAGGAAAAGAACUUCAUCGAGCCAAAACUCACAUUUAGAGAACUUUGCAUAGAAUUGAUACUCUCUGAGCUUGUCGAGCACCAAUCGCAAAUGUUUGGCAUGAUCCUGCUUAUUCUUGGAGAAGACCAAGAUAUCAUCGAGAUACACCAGGACGAAAUCAUUGGUAUAGGGGUUGAAGAUGAAAUUCAUCAUCCGAGAGAACACUGGAGGAGCAUUGACAAGGCCGAAAGACACGACAGUAUAUUCAUAAGAAUCAAAGCUUGUUCUGAAUGCUGUCUUGGGAAUAUCUUCUUCACGAAUGCGAAUCUGAUGAUAACCCAUACGAAGGUCAAGCUUCGAGAAUACUUUAGCACCUUUAAGUUGCUCAAAUAGCUCAUUGAUGUUGGGAAGUGGAUACUUGUUCUUGAUUGUCUUCUUGUUCAAUGGGUGGUAGUCGACACAAAGUCGGUCCGUGCCAUCCUUCUUCUUGACAAAAAGAACACCACAACCCCAUGGAGAAGAACUCGGUCUGAUCAAACCCAGACGCUCUUGUUCAUCUAGCUAUUUCUUCAAUUCCUUCAGCUCGUUGGGUCCAAGCUUGUAUGGACGCUUGCAAACAGGUUCAGUGCCAGGCUCUAGUUCGAUAACGAACUCAACUGGCCGAUGAGGAGGCAUACCCGGAAGCUCUUCUGGAAAGACAUCUUGAUACUCACAAACGACUGGAAUUUGAGAGAUGGCAUUCAAUUCGCCCUUCUCAUUGAGAGAGAAAAACCGAAUGGUUUCAUCACGAGCGGCAUAAAUAAUCACAUCCUCAGAAGAGUGUGUCAAUUGAAUUUCCCUAGCAGCACAAUCAAGUUGAGCCUUGUGCUUAGAAAGCCAGUCCAUCCCGAGAAUAAGAUCAAUAUCCGAGUCACCAAGAACAAUUGGAGAAGACUGGAAUUUGUAGUUUCCCAUCUUGAUGGAAACAUUCGGAACCAUAGAGCUUGCAUUCAUUAAUUUACCUGGAGAGACAACUGAUAACGGUCUAGGCAAAUCUUGAUAAGCCAACUCAUGCUUAAAUGCAAAUGGUCUUGAUAUGAAAGAAAGCGAUGCACCAGUAUCAAAAAGAACUUUUGCAGGAAUAUCAUUAAUAGGAAGAUUACCCAUUAUCACAUCAGUAGAUUCCUCCGCUUGAGCUGCAUUCAUCAUGUUCACCUUUGCAGACUUUGGAUUAUGCUUGACCACUGCAUUGCUGGAAGAUCUGACAGGAGGAGGAGGAGGAAGGCGCCUUUGGUUGAAGCACUUGUUAGCAUAGUGACCUUUCUGCUGACAUUUGUUGCAAGUCACCUCUGAGAGUGGACGGUGAUAAGGAGCAUUGGACUUUGGCGCUUGAUUCUGAGACUUGUUCUGAUAGCCAGAGUUGGAAGUGUUUGAAGAACCAUGGCCACCUUUGUUCUUCUGCUGAUAAGGCUGACGAAACGGAGGAGGAGGAGGCAACCAGAACUUCUGUUGCUUAGCUGUCACAAGUGAGGAAGAAGAAGACUGGACUGCGUCUCUGACUCUUUUCUUAGAAGCCUCACACUUGAGCUGAGCAGCCUCUUGCUUCAGUGCCAUAUUGUAGAAUUGAUCAAACUGAGUAGGCUCAACAAGAACGAGAGCUAACUGCAGAUCCUCUUUAAGGCCACCUCUGAAGUGAUAGAUCAUGCUCUUUUCAUCAGGAACGUCUUGCUUAGCGAAGCGAGCAAGUUUCUGAAACUGAAUGUUGUAUUGAUACACAGACAUGUUGCCUUGCUUGAGAUUGCGGAACUCCUCACGCUUGCUCUCAACAACACUUUGUGGAAUGUGGUGCGCUUCGAAAUCCCGACAGAAGUCAGUCCAAGUGAUCACACGACCUCCUCUGGAAUCUUUGUAUUGCUGAAACUAAUCAGCAGCUUGGUCCUUGAGCUGAAAAGAAGCGAACUUGACAAAGUCCUCAGGCCUGACAUUGCUACAUUCAAAAUGCUUGUUGAUGUCCACGAGCCAAUCAUCGGCAUCCGUGGCCUCGGCACAGUAGCUGAAAGACUUGGGCUGAUUUGCGAGAAACUGGUUGAGAGUGGCAAAGUGAAACUGAUUGUUGCCUUGACCUUGAUUGCCUUGAUUGCCUUGCCCUUGAGUACGUUCUUGCAAGAGUUGCAGAAUCAUUUGAGCAUUGGCGUUGGUGGCUGCCAUGAUUGCUUGCCAAGCCUCCGGAGGUGGAGGUGGUGGCGGAGGGUUCGCUUGACUCCCUUCAUUGCAAUCCGGAUUCUGACGCGUUGGCGGAGCCAUCCUGAAGAGGGUGACAUCUGUUACCAUCUUGAUAGACAAAUAGAUAAGUAGAAUCAACGGAUAGAAAUUGCAACAUAUAUUCUUCACAAUAAACAUUCGAACGAAGAUGAACGAAUGAAUUCCGUAGUAAAUCAUCACACUUUCAUAAGUUGAGAAGCCACUUGAAAAAGAUAUGGAAUCAACAUAUGAAUUCGAAGCAACUCGAAAACCACAAUACACAAUAAAACAAAGUAUUGGCUUGAAGAAUAAGCCGGAACACACAUAUGAUAGAGAUUUCAUCCGAAGUUUUCGUGGUGGGGCCCACACGGGCUCAAUCGUACAGCACCAUCAUGUACAAGGCUGUGCACAUGACAUACGAAGCGUCCCCGAGUCGGCAAAGCCAUGGACUCUUUAAGACACUACGAGACCACUGCAAAAUCAACCGUAUACAGGCGGACCACUAGACGUCGAACCCCAAUCUCAUAUCAUGCGUCUGUCGGAAAGAUAUCCUAAGGCUACUAGAAUUCCCACUUAAAAACUCCCGAAACUUUCUGGUUAUGCAAUCUGGUGUAGGGGAUACAGGGGACACAAAAUAUAUCACACAAGCUAGCAAUCCCUAGAUCCAGUUGUAUCCAUCCGUCAACACAUAACCAAGAAAUCUCCGAAAAUCGUUUACCUCAACCUUCGAAAAACAUCCGUUAUACAAGUUAUGGCAAUACUCCCGAACUCCCGCCCCAGUACUGGGUGGCGUCGAGGUGAUCUCACCAACAACUACAUAAAAGAGAUUUCGAUGUCGGCGAAACUCAGGUAUUCCAGAACUGCAACGAUAAAUUUGUGACGACAACACCUCGGAGCUCAACUCCCCGAGACACUGCUACAACCCCUAAAUGACAGGAGGCACCAAGAACAAUGUUCUCGUCACAAAAACCAUCGGAACGAUUCCAAGAUACCCGCGUGAUCCUAAAAAAAAAUUAGUGAACUUUGAGGAGAGAAAUAGUCAAAACUUCUACGUCAGGAGACCUCACCAGAGCGACGAAGGGACUGAGGAGUAAAAAGAAUCCUACUCUCCGAUAUAUAUAAUCCUAAGACUCAAACCAUUUUUGUUCUAGACUCAACAACGCCAGCGAUUCGAUCAAGCAGGGGGCUCCUAAGUCGGGGAUGGCUCUGAUUACCAACUUUUAACGCCCACGAUGCGGCUAUAUCUCCCACGUAUCGAGGCACGACUUAGAGGCAUAACCGCAUAGUGGUUUUGUCGCAAGAAGGGUCAUCUUCACACAAUCCCAUGUAAUGAACAAGAAUGGGAUAAAGAGUUGGCUUACAAUCGCCACUUCACACAAUACAUGAAUAAAUAUCAUACAUCAUCCAAAAUACAAUCAUAUGGACCGACUACGGUCAAAAUCCAGAUGAAAAUAAGACAACCCCAAAUGCUAGAUCCCCGAUCGUCCCAACUGGGCUCCACUACUGAUCAUCAGGAAAAGACACAUAAUAACGACCACGUUCCUCGUCGAACUCCCACUUGAGAUCGACGCCAUCAUCUGCACUGGCAUCGUCGGCACCUGCAACUGUUUUGGUAGAAUCUGUGAGUCACGGGGACUCAGCAAUCUCACACCCGCGAGAUCAAGACUAUUUAAGCUUAUAGGAAGGGAGGAGUAAUGAGGUGGAGCUGCAGCGGCAAUAAGCAUAUAUAGUGGCUAACUUGCGCAAAUGAGAGCGAGAAGAGAAGCAACGGAACGGACGUCAUCUAGCAAUGACCAAGAAGUGAUCCUGAACACCUACUUACGUCAUACAUAACUCAGACCGUGUUCACUUCCCGGACUCCGCCGAGAAGAGACCAUCACGGCUACACAUGCAGUUGAUGUAUUUUAAUUGGGUCAAGUGCCAAGUUCUCUACAACCGGACAUUAACAAAUUCUCAUCUGCCUCAUAACCGCGGGCACGGCUUUCGAAAGAUAAUACCCUGCAGGGGUGUCCCAACUUAGCCCAUCAUAAGCUCUCACGGUCAACGAAGGAUAAACCUUCUCCCGGAAAAACCCGAUCAGUCUCGGAAUCCCGGUUUACAAGACAUUUCGACAAUGGUAAAACAAGACCAGCAAAGCCACCCGAAUGUGCCGACAAAUCCGGAUAGGAGCUGCACAUAUCUCGUUCUCAGGGCACACCGGAUGAGACAUCCUACGAUUAAACCCAGACCUCGAGUUUCCAAGAGGGGGCCCCGCAGUCUGCUUAGUUCGGACCAACACUCGAAGGAGCACUGGCCCGGGGGGGUUAAAAUAAAGAUGACCCUCGGGCUCGCGAAAACCCGGGGGAAAAGGCUUAGGUGGCAAAUGGUAAAACCAAAGUUGGGCCUUGCUGGAGGAGUUUUAUUCAAGGCGAACUGUCAAGGGGGUCCCAUAAAUCACCCGACCGUGUAAGGAACGCAAAAUCAAGGAACAUAAUCCCGGCAUAUCAGUAACAAGGGCGGCAAGAGUGGAACAAAACACCAGGCAUAAGGCCGAGCCUUCCACCCUUUACCAAGUAUAUAUAGAUGCAUUAAUUAAAUAAGAGAUAUUGUGAUAUCCCAACAUAUCCAUGUUCCGACAUGGAACAAACUUCAACUUCACCUGAACCUAGCAACGCUAUAAGAGGGGCUGAGCAAAAGCGGUAUCAUAGCCAAACAACGGUUUGCUAGGAAAGGAUGGUUAGAGGCUGACAUGGCAAAAUGGGAGACAUGAUAUAGCAAGUAAUACGUAGCGUAGCAUGGCAAUAGAGCGAACAACUAGCAAAGCAAAGAUAGAAGUGAUAUCGAGGGGUGGUCAUCUUGCCUGCAAGGUUCUCAGAGUUGUCGAAAGCUUGAUCCUCGUAAGCGUACUCAACAGGUUCCUCGUUCACGAACUCGUCUCCCGGCUCUACCCAAGACAAGAACACAAGCAAACCGAACCACAAUCAAUCACGAUAAAUGCACAAGCAACAUGAUGCAAAACAUGUAUGAUAUGCAAGAUAUGAUAUGCGAUGCAUAUGCGUGCUCCGGAAGGAAAAUGAUGAACAUGGCAGUAACUUGGCAAAUCAAGCAUGCCACUGGAAAGAUGAGGUGAUUUCGGUCAAAAUCGAUAUAAAGAUCACCGGAAUCGGAUGCACGGUUUGCAAAUGGCAAGCAAAACAAGAAUGACACGAAUCUGCGAUUAACAGCAUGAUAGCACAUAAAAUGCAACAAGUAACAAAGCUACAGCACUCCAACAUAGCAACAAAGCACAUGGCAGUAAUCUACAGGAGAUGCUUGACAAAAGAUGAACAAUGAGCUAUGGAUAGUUCAAAACAUAUCAAGCUCAAACAAGCAUGGCAAAAGUGCAAAAGAUAACAGGUUCACAGACUUGAUGAAAAACUGGACAUGGCAGAAAACAGCAUCAGGUAGCAAUGUUCAGAGCACGAAAUAAACAUGCUACAGGAACUUAACAUAGCAAACCAAGGCAUGGAAGUGUUCUACUAAAUGCAUAUGACAAAAGUCCCUUAGUGACCAUAAGCCAAAAAGGACUAGAAGAUAUGAUGGCAAGCAUGUAAACAUAACAAGUUUCGUUAUCAGGUUUCAGACUUGGCAGAAAACAGAGCAUGGCAGAAAUAAUAAUAUGUAGGCCUCUUUGUGAGCUUGAUGCACUCACUACAGAGCAAUGCAUGACAAACCAAGCACACCUACAGCAAGAUGGCAUGUUUAUUAAGCUAACCAUGGCAAGAACAAUUGCAUAGCAUGUGUGGAUCAACUACAAUAAGCUUGGCAAAAUUGCAUAUCAUGUUAAGAAUCUGCCAGAAAUAUUUUAUAGCAAAAGUAGAGCAAGAUUGAGUCAUGCUAUGGCACUCCAUAAUUACAAAAAAUUGCAGGAAUGGAUCAACUACAACUAUAGCUACAAAACAUCCUUACAGAACAUCUCCAAAAUAUGCAUGGAUCUCUCUGUAGCAUCAAGUUUACAUGGCAACCAAAUAACAGCAGACAAAGACUUAGAGAAAUCACCGUCCCUGAAAUCAGAAACAUUACAGAGCCUACUUUGCAUGCUUGUGCUAGUCACCACAGAGAUCACAAAAAUACAUGGACUACACCACUGGAAAGAUGGAAUGGCAUACUUCAAAACACAUGUAGAGCUCAUGCUCAUAAGAUGCACGGAUUAAGUGAUACAAAAAUGACAAAUCUCCAAGUUCUGCUAAGAACCAGAGAAUAACAGCAACUAGCCCUCUUCCAACAGAGAUUUGGGCAUCAAGAUGACCUCUAAUGAAUAUGGUGCAAUUGAACAAAAUGUAGAGCAUCACGAGGCGAACAAUUUUACGUAUUAUACGCGUAAAUCGGAGCUACAAGCAAGGAGUUAUGGCAUCACGAACAGAGGCACAUACUGAGAAAAAUCCAACACUUAGAAAUAUUUCGGGGGGGUACGGGUCAACGCUCACAGAGAUCCAGAUCAGGGCCGAGCGGCGCUCGUCGCCGGCGGGACAGAAGAGGAGGCGGGCAGCCGGAGAGGAGAGGAUGGCCGACGGGGCUCGGGCGGCGGCCUCGGGACCGGCGGGCGGCGAGGUGGCGGGGCCGGCCNNNNNNNNNNNNNNNNNNNNNNNNNNNNNNNNNNNNNNNNNNNNNNNNNNNNNNNNNNNNNNNNNNNNNNNNNNNNNNNNNNNNNNNNNNNNNNNNNNNNNNNNNNNNNNNNNNNNNNNNNNNNNNNNNNNNNNNNNNNNNNNNNNNNNNNNNNNNNNNNNNNNNNNNNNNNNNNNNNNNNNNNNNNNNNNNNNNNNNNNNNNNNNNNNNNNNNNNNNNNNNNNNNNNNNNNNNNNNNNNNNNNNNNNNNNNNNNNNNNNNNNNNNNNNNNNNNNNNNNNNNGACGUGGCGCGCCCUAUUGGUUGCGUGCGGCGGCGGGUUUUCGUCCGGCGGCGCUGGACGCGUCCGGCGCGGCGCGAGAGAAUUUUCUAGGGUUGGAUUGAGUUCGUUUUUCGGGGAAGAUGCAAAUAUAUAGCUAGAGGGAGCUAGGAGAGUCCAAAUGAGGUGCGGUUUUCGCCCAGACGAUCGUGAUCAAACGACCUAGAGCAUGGAAGAGAGUUUGGUGGGUUUUGGGCUGGUUUUAGAGGGGGUUUUUGCUGGACACUCAAAUGGACUUUGCGGAUGCCCGGUUAACCGUUGGAGCACCAAACGGCCUCCAAAUGGAACGAAACUUGACCGGUGGUCUCCGGGUGGUAUAAUAAGGCCACUUGACAAGCCUCGGUCCAUUCCGAGAAAGUUUGACACCCGCACACGAAAGAAAACAAGAGGGGUGCACCAGAGGAGAUAGGAGCGCCGGAUUGCAAAACGGACAACGGGGAAAAUGCUCGGAUGCAUGAGACGAACACGUAUGCGAAUGCAAUGGACAUGAUGACAUGAUAUGAAAAUGCAUGACAUGACAAAAUGCAAAACGAAAGACAAAACCCGACCACGGAGGAAAUAUCAUAACACAUAGCCGAAAAUGGCAAGAGUCGGAGUUACAAAUAUGACAAGUUACAUCCGGGGUGUUAUAGUACACCUCACAGAAUACUUGGAAAUUGCAGAUGUUUGACACGGAAUUGGGUCCGAUGUCUUGAGGUCGCAGGUCAAAAAAGUGCAAGACGUCUCUGAAAAUUUUUGAACCGGGUGGAGCAAAGCCCCGGUUCAUGUGAUCAGUUAAAAUGACAACUUCCCCAUCCUUGGGUUGAGGCUUCUCUUCUGACGGGUCAGGAGCACGAUAAGACAUGAUCUCUUUCUUCGGCAGAUGACCAGUCUUCACAAAAUCGUUUAAGAUGCUAUCAGUGACGGUGGAUCUAACCCAGUUGCAUGUGACGGGUGCUUUGGGAGCCUUGGGCGGCAUUAUGAAGGAUGGAAGCCUAUGACAAAAUAAAAAUUUCCGGCUCAAAUUUAAGCCAGAGAAAAUAUUUCAAUUCAUAUUCAAGAUGGCGGCUUACGAAGGGGUCUAAUGAUAUAUGGCUAAUUGUGUCAGAUUGUUUAAGCCGCCAUGGGAAACAGUAGCAAUUAAAUUAUUUAAAUCCACUAUGAGUGAUCAGGAUUAUUCAUUGAGCACUGCCUCUUUAAGCCGGUGAUAAGAGCCGCCAUGGCUAACGGAUACAGUGUUUUGCCUAAGUAUCGCACAAACAAGUUUCACAAGUUGCAGCUGUUAUUUUGGAUCAAAUGGUCGUUCAGAAAAGAAAAUAUUCUAGACCUAAAAAACUGGUACAGAUAAGUUCGUGAGCUCUAAGGAGGUCUUUUUACAGGCAAAAGGGAUCUGCUAGUAUUGAAAAUGGACGCAAAACAACUACCGCAUGAGUUCCGUACCACUUUUGGAUCAAAGGAGACCGCGGCGGAAGAACUAUGAAGAAACCGUGAUGAACUAUGAAGAACACGAAAGAACGCAGAAACCCUAAUGCAGAUCUGAUAUUCGAGAAGAGGAAUACGUACUGGAGCUGCUGAACAGCGGAGGUGCAUCGCAGUUCUUUGGUCAGGACAGGUUGAUGCAGCAGCCUUGGCUGGUGCAGAUGCGAAGGUCGACGGCGGCGGCGGAGUUCGGGCUCUGAGGCGUCGAGAGGAGGAAGACGAUAGAAAGGGGGAGAAUGAGAAAAGACCUGGUCGUGCUUAUUUAUAAGGGAAGACUGAUAAGUGGGCGCGAAAAACGAGGAGGCCGAAAACAUGAUUAUCCAACUACAGAGACGCCUCGAUUUACGGGAUGGUUAUUAAGAUAAGGAUCCAUUGAGAUACGUCGGGUAAAGCGUGCAUUAAUGGCAGAUGACAUCAUGGCGGGUUACCAAGGAUCCAGAAGAUGACGUCAUGGCGGGUUAUAACUUUUGCACAGACAGAAGCCAGAAAGUUUUUCCUUAAAGUAUUGAAGAUUGACAUGAACCAGUUCAAAUCAAUCUGGGGCCUAAUGUUGGGGACAUAACUACUGGCGUAACCCGCCCAGGAGGGGCCGGGUUACGUUAUGGCGAUUCAUCAUAUGAAGCCCAAUAUCAAGCUUGAAGAUGGCGGUUUAGUAAAGGGCCUAAAGCCCAUAGGCGACUUAAAGCCCGUAGUAAUAAACCGCCGUAAUGGCAUGACUUGUAUUAUAAGACAAGAAUAGUUAAGAGACCGAGCCGGACACUGUUUAUGAGCCGGCCGGGACUCUGAGAGCCGCUGGGCGUUAACCUCUAUAUAUAAAGGGACGACCCAGUGGCGGUUUAGGACGGAUAACAUCAAAUCGGUAGCCAGGCAUAGCGGAUUCGCUCCCUGGUCAUCGAAACCCUAGUAAUUCCACCUCAACUGAAGUAGGCUUUUACCUUCACCGUAAGGGGCCGAACCAGUAUAACCCUCGUGUCCUUUGUCCCGCUUUAACCCCUUUAAGCUUCCUAGUUGCGAUGGCUCCACGACUAAGUCCUUUCACGAGGACAUCUGCCGUGACUAUUCCACGACAGAUGGGUUUGUUUCUUUUUCAGUAGAUGAUACCACCUCACACGUUGUUGCGAAAACAUUUUGUAAUAUAUUUUAAUGAGGUUCCAUUAUACGAACAAUAUUUUGAGUAAUAAUGUGAUAACUAAAACUGUAAAUACAUACGAUUUAUUGUGUUUGAUUAGUUUAUAGUUGUAAUUUUUUUAUUAAAUAUAAAUUGCAUAAUAGAGUCGCAAUUAGCAUGCUUAUUUGCAUGUUGAGGUGGACUUUCUGGAUGCAUGUUGCGCUGAGAUGGUAUGCUUGCAUGUUAAGAGUAAUAUGUUCACGAAGGCUAGGUAUUUAGCUAUGGAAGAUUACCUUAUUUGAAGAUUAGUUUUAGCUUAAUUACCCAUGGAGGAAAGAUAUAAAUCAAAAGCUACUAUAUUUAAUGUAUAAAUGUUUCAUACUUGCAUCAUGUGUGAACAAAGAGUAUUUAUGCACCCGGCACAAAAAAAAGUAUGCAUUAAAUUGGGUCAUAAAUCACGACCCUUUUAGCAAGUAAGAAAAUCAUAUAUCCUCUGUUCAAUAAUAUAUCGUGCAUUGGUUCCGCAAAAAUCAGACUUCAUAAAAUUCAAAAUAGUUUAUAAAGAAAAUUAUCUACAUCUAUGAUACCCAAUUUAUAUCAUAUGUAUAUGUGUGUGUGUGUGUGUAUAUAUAUAUAUAUCAUAAUAAAUCAAAUUAUAUUUAGUUUACUAAAUGUUGAUAUUUUUCUGUACUUGGUUCAAGUUUACAAUUUUUUAUUUUACAAGUACAAUACACGUUGUAUUUGCGAUGGAGGGAGUACAUGAAUGUGGUUUGCGUGGGCCUAAAAAUAGUGUUAGUGGAUGUUGGCGUGGCGUAGUUGAUGAGGUGGGAGACAACGUAUUGAGAGAAUUAGAGAUAGUUGAGAUCAACUAUUUCAAUAUACUAGAUGAUACCUCCCGUGUUGAUGUGGGAAUUAGAUAAUUCAAUGAGAUGUGCUCGUUGCAUGUUUUGGUGUAUCUUUUUCCGUGUAUGAUUGUAGCUGCAGAAAUAAGUUCAUGGGAUCACCUAUAUAGUUGUGUACGAUGGGUCUUGCUAACGCCGGCCCGGUUUGCUAUUUGGCACGAAAAGAAUCAUGAACUUUUUUCUCACAAGAAAAACCUCAGGUAAUGAAGUGUGUAUUAUUUGCUCUCCAAGCAGUACUCGUCCAAACCUUGACUGUCUAUAAUUUUGUUUAUGUCCAUUUUGCAGCGUGCAUGAUGCAAAGACCAAAACCUAUACAAAAAUAUGACUCAAUAAUCCCUGUGAUGCACAGGAUGUGGAUAAAUAAAAAUUAGCAGCGCUCUAGUAGUGGUGGCGAAACCUGUACGACAGCCCCACACUGCACACCCCAGUUACAACGAAACUUGGCUCAGUCGGCGUGCCCGUAGGGUAGAUUCUCGGGGUAGCUUGGCAAGCGAGAUUGCCUUAAAUGAUGAGGUGUGAUGUUACUUAAGCCACCCACCUAGGUCGAUUUCCUUUUUUCUCAUGACACCGCACACGCGCUUGACGUUUGAUUUGACCGGCGGUUUGUCGUCGAUUUGCUCUAAUGAGAAGAUGUCGUAGGUUUACUAUAGGAGUAUGUCGUACUGUUUGUGCACAUGCUAGAUCUUUUUCAUGUACUCCUAUGUGCUAGUUGGAUGAGUGUGGUUUGGUGCUGAAAGUAGCACACUGCAUGCAUAGUUAGGAUAAUGUCGUGCGCCUGCCAUGACAUUGGGCUCCAGGUGUGCCUUCUUUCGGAAGAACGUCUCCACUGUCUGUCGGCAAAUAGUGUAGACUCCUAUUACUGAGCUAGACAAAAUCUUUAGCUGUUUGAAAAUUUGAUCGGAACCUACCCGAGUGGCUCGUUCCUACGAAGAUGCAUAGCUAUGAUUUCUGACGCAUCUAGCAGUUCCAACAAGUGAAGCGAGCUAUAUAUACUCCUACAUGCUAGCUCCUUUUUGUUUUUCGGAGAAAAAAAAUGCUAAAAGGCCCAUGAAAUUAAACCCAGAAUAAACUUCAUAUAUGCAGAGUGUAAUCCUUUAAUCCAAGUAAGAAACAAAAGGGUUAUGUACUAUGAACCUGCGAGAAGAGGUCGCAACGCAAGUAUUUUUAAGCACUCUGUCGGCUGUCCACACCUUUUCUUAGAUAGAUUGUUUGUAGUGAUUGAGGGGAUAUGUUUCUCUAAUAGUUUUCCCGGCCCACCAGCUCAUCGAUAUGCCGACGGAGAGAGACAUUUCGAUUAUAACAAGUUAACACGCUGCCGUCCCAUUCCAAAUCGAAAGGUUGCUGUUGACAUCAGUUCACAUCUCGCAGCUAAAUUAUUUAAUCUCUUAAGUUCGUUUAAUCCUGAGAAGCUCUCUGAGCCAUCACAUGGAUCUUUAGCUUUCAAUUCAAGCUAAUACUCCCUCCGUAUCAAAAAAGGAGUAUGUACUACUGAAGCACACACGCUGACAUGCAUGCACGAGGCCCAUGAUUGGAUUUAUCCAUCAUAAGCACUUUCUUUUCUUCUUUUCAUGGCAUGGGAGAAAAAAAGAUCUUAAUGCUUCAUCUUUGAUUUAUUUUCAACGGUUUAUCCUCUGAUAGUACAUCUCAAUGUCGACCUCUGCACUAUUUUCUCCAUAUGUAUCAUGUUGUUCCAAUCCGAGAGGAAGUACUCAUACUUUUUUUUGACAGAAAACUCCUCCUUUAUUCAAGCAUCAAAACAGUAGCAUCGUUUACGAGCAACGGGAUAACCGCAUUAGGGGCAGUAUCCAACCAACAACCAGUAGUAGAAAAUUUAGCCAACCUAGCAAACUCAUGAGCUACCACAUUACUCUCUCUAUUACAAUGAGCAUAAAUGACAUGAUUGAAAUCUAAGGACAUGAAAUAACAAUCAUCGAAUAUGGCACUAGCAACUGAUGAAGAGUAGCCCUCCUUUAGAGCUUCUACCACUUCCCCGAGUUGAUCUCGAUUUUGCUACACCCUUUUGUACGUGCUAGAUUCAUCCCGAAUCGUUCUGCAAGUGCCUCUGCUGUAAACGAGUCAAAACAUAUAUCAAUCUUUUCAUUCGCAGCAGCGAUGAACUUGCCAUUGUGGUCCCGAAGAACUGCCCCCACCGUUCCUUCUAGUGUAUCUACGUCAAAACCAGCAUCCACAUUCAGUUUAACAUAUCCAUACCUUGGCUUCAACCACAUAUUCUGUUUCAGUUUGGCCUUAGGUGUGCAUGAAAUAAUGAAGUUCGCGGCGAGUCCUCUCACAGCCAAGCUGAUUUGAGCUACACUUUGGACAUUCUCCCCAUGUGCUAAUUUUCUUCUUUCAUACCACAAAUACCAAGCUGCAGUUGCUAUUGUUUCUCUCAAUUUCGGUAGAUCUAGGGUGUGAAUGUCAUGGUCUUUCAAACAUAGCAAGUGUUCAAGAAUAACUUCUCCCGCCCUGUCCAGCAAGCAGGCCUUCCUGAUGAUAUCAUCGACACCUAAUAAUUUCCACAAAUCUGUUGCUAACUUACACUCAAAUAGCAAAUGCUUGAUAUUACCAGGACCUAGAUUGCACGCAGGGCAACUAGGGUUGAUUUUGAUAUGUUUAUUGGCAAGAAUAGAGCGGCAAGGGGCUGCACUGUGAGGUGCCCUCCAAAUAAAUAUUUUUAUUUUCGACGGGCAUAGUAAACUCCACACGGAUUCCCAAGUACCUCUCUGUUUAGAGGACCCCACCGAAUUCUGAAUUUUAUAACCGUACUGAGACUACACCAUGGUAAGCUGACCGUACUGUGAAUACUCCUGUUCUAGUCAUAUUCCACGCGACAAAAUCGGUCAUAUCAUUCAAAGCUAGUGGAAUUGCAAGUAUGCGUUGAGCAUCCACCUGCCAGAAUGUUUGCCUAACAAGUUGUUCGUCCCAAUCACCCGUCAUAGGGUCAAUGAGAUCACGCACAUGUGAUAGAAGAUGGUUACCACGAGUAGUUAAUACCUUUCUGGUUGGGGAUUGCGGAAUCCAUUCGUCCUUCCAAAUCUUAAUUUUUGUCCCAUCACCGACUCUCCAUAUGUGCCCAAUCUUCAGGACUUCAACACCAGCCAUAAUACUUUGCCAAGUAUACGAGGAUUUCUUCUUCAAUGUAGCAUUCAAGAGAUCUCCAUCACCGAAAUAUUUCGCUUUGAGGAUCGUCGCACAAAGAGAAUCGGGAUUAUCAAUAAGUCUCCACGCCUGUUUUGCCAGUAAAGUCAAAUUAAAACAGUGGAUGUCUCUAAAGCUCAUUCCACCUUGUUUUUUUGGAAUGCACAUCUUCCACCAUGCGAACCAGUGCAUCCUCUUGUGAGUUGCAUCAUCACCCCACCAAAACCGAGAUAUCACAUCCGUGAUUCCUUUGCAAAAAAAUUUAGGAAGUACUCAUACUUGGUUGUGACUUUUCACAAAUUAUUACCAGUAUAUGCAUAGGGGCGUGCAAUUUUGAACUAGGGGUUACAGAAAGAUAAAUUUGAGUCUGGUCCUUAAAACUCCCAAGAGAUAGACCUCUAUGUAAAAGUUAUGUUGUGGGAAACUGCGCGACACCCCAUACAUAUGUGGCUAUCUCAUAUAUAUAAGGAUACACAAAGUGCACAAAUAGAAGAUACAUGGUGUAUACGGAAGCACGUAUAAACGUUGUCUAACACCCUCCUCAAUCUUAACUGUGGCCUGAAGUACAAAGCAAGUUAAGAUUAUGCCUACAACCUUCAAACUGAGGUUGUGGAAGUGGCUUCGUAAAGAUGUCAGCAAGUGGAUCUUUGGAGGAGAUGAACUUGAUAUGAAGAAGUUUCUGUGCAACACGUUCCCUCACAAAGCGAUAGUCAACUUCGAUGUGCUUGGUACGAGCAUGGAAAACUAGAUUAGAUGAAAGAUAUGUCGCAUCAAUAUUAUCACACCAAAGAACCGGUGGCUGCUCUUGAGAGACUCCCAACUCUCACAACAGAUACUGUACCCAAAUGAGCUCAGCUGUGGCAUUGGCAACCGUCUUGUACUCUGCUUCAGUGCUACUCUGAGAUACUGUGGCAUGCUUGCGCGCACUCCAGGCGAUCAAGUUGCGACCAAAGAAGACAACAUAGCCCCCCGUUGAUCGCCGGUCAUCCAGGCUCCCAGCCCAAUCUACAUCAAAGAACGCCGAGAGAGCACUUGAAGAGGUAGACCGAAGAUGCAAGCCAUAGGAUAUGUUUAUCUAAUAGUCUCCUCAGCCCACCAGCUCAUCGAUAUGCUGACGGAGAGAGGCAUUUCGAUUAUAACAAAGUUAACAUGCUCGUCGUCCCAUUCCAAAUCAAGCUUGUUGUUGACGUCAGUUCACAUCUUGCAGCUAAGUAAUUUAAUUUCUUAAGUUCGUUUAAUCCUAAGAAGCUCUCUGAGCCAUCACAUGGAUCUUAAGCUUUCGAUUCAAGCUAAUACUCCAUCCGUGUCAACGUUUGGACGGUGAGCACACAUGCUGACAUGCAUGCACGAGGCCCAUGAUUGGAUUUAUCCAUCACAAGCACUUUCUUUUCUUCUUUUCCUGGCAUGGGAGAAAAAAGAUUUCAAUACUUCAUCUUUGAUUUAUUUCACAGUUUAUCCUCUAUCUCAAUGUCGACCUCUGCACUAUUUUCUCCAUAUGUAUCAUGUUGUUCCAAUCCUAAAGGUAGUACUCAUACUUGGUUGAAACUUUUCACAAAUUAUUAUCAGUAUAUGCAUAGGGGCAUGCAAUUUUGAACUAGGGGUUAUGAAAAGAUAAAUUCGAGUAUAGUCCUUAAAACUCCCAGGAGAUAAAAGAAGACCUCUAGACCUAAGUCGAGUCCAAGCAUCGGUUCUAGUGAAUACGAAAACAUUGCGACGAUAUGCACUGCAAGAAUAUAGGAUGAGGGAAUUUUAGAAUUUAUGUGGAAUAAAUUGUAGAAGUGCAUGCUCUACUCAAUGCAACCAAAAAACCGAUCUGAUGGAAGAUACUAGGUGAUACAUUUAGGCGUCAACAUUCCCCUCACAUGUGGCUCCCUCAAGCCUAAACGUGGAUCGAAAGUGGGCUGUAAUUUAAUUGCGCCAGCAGGGUCUUGAACUCAAGACCUCUUGGCUCUGAUAUACCAUGUACAUGUUUUACACGUCCCCACCCCCCAACAACAUCGCGGGGCCAAGGACAUCGCGAGUUUCAUGCCUCCAUGAUUUUUCUAGUUCUUUUGGGCUGAUCAACCCCUUCUUGUUCUGCUCUCCUAACACUUCUUUGUGCAUCCUGUGUGUACGCUGAGUUGCUGCUACCCAUGUAAACCCCAACUCUCUUGCUCCCUACCUAUCAAUGGAAUGAUACGUAUUUUGCGUAUUCGCGAAAAAACAAUUUGCAGGUAUCAUGAUCAAGGGCUUGCCUACGGCCUCAUUCGAGGGAGUUUCGGUCCAGUCUUUGCGUCAGCAAUGACGAUGCUUCGACUGCGGGGGGAUGUUGAAUAUAUAUUGCAUGUAUCUUUGUAUUCUUUGCCUACCUCUUAGUUCCUUGCAUAGUUAAGGUUGUGGCUUACCUUGUAUAUCAUAUAUACGUGGAAUUGCACCCGAUGAGUUGCAUCAUAUUAUUCUACAUAAAGGAUGUUGAGAUUUUAUUUUUUUUCAGACGAGUGGGUUUCAAGUUUCAACAAUAGAGUAAGCCAGAACACACCGGUCUUUUCUUUCUUAGCCUACUCUAUACUAUGCUCGGCUAACCCUAUUGCUUAUACUCCCUCUGUAAAUUAAUAUAAGAGUGUUUAGAUAACUAAAAUAAUGAUCUAAACGUUUUUAUAUUAGUUUACGGAGGGAGUACGUCUUAAUUAUGGAAAAAGGAACGGGGAGACCCGAGGAGCCUUCGAGAGAGCCCCUUGAGAGUCGAGAGCGAGCAACCGUUCCCGGCCCGAUCCCCUAUCUUCUCCGAUGGCGUAGCCGGCCGGAGCAGAGAAGGGAGAGGUACACGGAGUAGUCUUGUAUAUAGCGCGUCUAGUUUUAGGUGGUAUUCUGCCCAUGUGGCGUAUGGCGGUAUGCCGAUGUGGAUAGCGCCGCCGCCGUGGGCGAGUAGCGGCCGGUGGCUUACGGCGGUGGUCUUCAUGGUGGUGCUGACUGGAGGUCAGUCGCUGCCGUCGAGCGCAUCGUCGGCUACUCCACCAAUAAGCUCGCCUGGUUCCCUGUUCUGGAGGUGCUCCGCUUCCUCUCCUGCUUCUAUGGUCGCCGUGGUGGUGGAGUUGAAGCAGGGGAAAGAUGGAGGUCCAGAUCGGGUUUGUGCUCAUCCCCGAUGGCUGCUGGUGAAUGGCUACGGCGCCGGCCAUGGCGCUUGGCUGCCGGCCGUUUCUUCCAUGCCAUCGGAUCUGCUGGCCGAAGGGCGGCCGUACUUCUUCCUUCCGGCUAUGGAGCCAAUUGGGAGGCAGUGCUUCUUCAACAUGGAGUCCGCGGCGAGGUGUCGUGGAGGCUUUGCCACACCAAGUGGUGUUGUCCCCGGCGGUGGCAAGGUUGCAUUCGUGAUGAAGGUGCUUGGGACCCGAUCGCGUUUUUCAUUUGGUUGUGGGGGUCCUCUUUGUAAAAUGCAGGGACCAGUGUGUUAUCUAGGUUUAGUUCGGGGUCCUUUUGCAUACUGCUGUGUACCACCGCUGUUUUAUUACUAAUGCAGUCUCGGGGUCCUUCUGGACCCCUCUCUCGUUCAAAAAAAAAAGAACGGCAUCCUGCAACAGUGGUAUGCUAUGAUAGAGAUAAUUAAUAAUUACCCGCCCCCAACGGUCUUCUGUGGUUGAUGCAAUAUUUAUGCGCAUCGAAUCCACAGUUCCCCGCCACUAUCAUUGCGGCUGAAGAUUCCUGACAUCUACAAAGGAUCAGAUUAUUGAGCAAAAAUAACAGAAGUGGUAGAGUUUUGAACGGUUUGGCACACACUAAAUCAGCGUUGUGAUAUAUAUUGCUGUCACACGACAACAUAUCAUGACCGAGGCCCGAGGGUUAUCCUCUUUUCGGAAAACAUACCUCGACUGUGUGCAUCACAACGAUGAUGAGCCAGGAAUUAUCCUCUUUUUCUAAAAAAACACGGGAACAUAUCAUUUUUUAUUUGUUUUCCAUAACUGAUUAGCCAGAAUGGUUUAUGAUUAGUGACAUGCAGGGAGACAUGUACGUCAACUCUCAGCUAAUGUCCUUGACACAAAUCACACAAAACGGUAAAUCUCGGAGCAAUUAUGUCGCAUCAAUCGG
rnacentral:lncRNA from 1 species